rnacentral:lncRNA from 1 species
UAAUAAGUAUUUGUGGAUAUCAUUGUAUCUUUGGUGGUACUAUUAGAACAGUUUGUCUACUCAGUUUUUAAAAUUUAUGCUUAAGUUAUGCAGAAAUGGGCCAUCCUUUUCUCAUAAUUUAGGAAGGUAGCAUGAUACAUUCCUAUUCUGCCACCAUUGUCAUCCAGCCCAAAUCACAUCUUCUACCCAAACAGCAGUUUUAUGGCAACUCUCUCUCUCUCUCUCUCUCUCUCUCUCUCUCUCUCUCUCUCUCUCUUGCCUUCUGUAAGCUCCCUGCAGAUGCAUGAAUUAUAGCAGACCACUCAUUUGUUUAGAAUAAUCCACUGGUUUCAAAAUUGUAUAGACUAAACAUCAAAUUGUUUUCUAGUUAAAAAUCCUAGGACAUGCUUGUCUAUUUUUCAGCAUGCAAAGUUUUCCACACCCAAGGCCCACUGUAUCCUACCAUGUCUACUCUGUGUCUGUUUCUGUUCCCUGGGAUUUUCCCACUCAAUUAUACCUACAGUGGCUCACACCUUUCUUCCAGACUUUGUAGUGCAUGUGGGCUGUGUUUUGCCUUCCCUUUGCAGAAUGACUUUCUCUGAUUAUCUAAUCUAAAAUGUACCAUGUGAGUGAUCUUAUAAUAAUUAACGGGUAAGCCACUGGAGAUGUCAAAUUAUGUUUACCUUUUUGUUACUUUAUUUUCUGUUUUGAGCUCACAGAAAUCUAAAUACUUCAUGCUAUCCUCUGGGCAUACUAUUUGUUAACUAUGUAAACACAUGAAUAGUUUUAUAGGAAAUGAUUAAUGAAUACUAUUAGAUGAGUUAGCAGGUGUUGGGGCUAAAUUUGGGAUUACAUUCUCCACACUAGUUUUUGAGACAAGAUCUCUCACUGAGCCUGAAGCUAACUAAGCUGAUUUGGCCACAAUGGCAGUAAAGCAAGCUCAGGGAUACUCCUGUGUUUUUCUACAGAAAAUGUGGGAAUAUUGUAUUAAACGUUUAAAAUAGGUGCUAGAGGGCUGGUGAGAUGGUUCAGUGGAUAAGAGCACCCGACUGCUCUUCCGAAGGUCUGGAGUUCAAAUCCCAGCAACCACAUGGUGGCUCGCAACCAUCUGUAACAAGAUCUGACGCCCUCUUCUGGAGUGUCUGAGGACAGCUACAGUGUACUUACACAUAAUAAAUAAAUAAAUCUAAAAAAAAAAAUAGGUGCUAGAGAUUUGAACUCAGGAUCUCUUGCUUGGCUAGAAAUCACUUUUUUUGCUGAAUCAUCUCCCCAGCUUCAGUUUGGAAACAUUUAGUAGACAAAACUAAUCAGAAAACUAAAGAAUGAACAGGGAGAAUUAUACGGGUGGGGCAACAUUCCUGGUUUAUGAUUUAGACUCAAACUUCUGAGGAGCUGAUGUUUCACUUGACAUCAAAUCAAGUCAUGAGCACAUAUCUACCAUUUAACAAGAGAAUUGAUCACUAAAGGGAUGUGGGAGAAUUUUCUGGAGUUGGUGUUUAUGUUCUGUAACUUUCUUGGGUUGUGUCAUAUAGGUGAAUGCAGUUACCAGAACGUAUUUAAAGGUGCAUGUAAGAUUUGUAGAGCUGACCUUUUGUCAAUGUAUCUUUAAAAAACCUGUCAACAGACAUUGAAAAGUUAGCAUGUUGCUGGAGUGUGUGGAGGUGAAAUGUGCUGAUAUCCAUCCCUUGCAUUUUAUUGUGGUUGUUUGAAACAGGGUCAUAUGUAUCCCAUGCUAGCCAUGUUCUUGCUGUGUAGUCCAGUGUGAACAACUGAUUCUCCUGUUUCCCUCUCACAAGUAUUAGGAUUACAGGAAUUCUCCCCCUACCAUUCCUGGAUACUAUAUACUUUUAAAUACACUAAUAAAUGAGAUGGAAUGAUAGAAUAGAAGGAUGAAUGUAUGGGUCAUGAUUAGGUGAUAAAACAACAUAAUAUUCAUUGUAAAUACAGUUCAUAAAAUAUAUCUGUUAUAAUGUGUAAUUCUCUCAAUUUAUAAAAUUACAAGGGAGACAUAUUUUACUCAUAAGAAUAUAUUCCCUAGGGGUAAAAGUUUUAAUUUAUAAAUUAAUAAUUUUAUAUAUAUAUUAAUACUUGGAAUCCAUAAUUGGGAUUUAGAAUAAGAUAGUAGUGCUACCAGUUAAUGAUAGCUCUGUGUGUGUGUCUGUGUGUCUGUGUGAGUGUAUUAUUGGGUAGCACAAGAAAAUAGAUGAGUGUGAAACACUAGAAAAAGAGCCCAUUUUUGUUGAUGUCCCAAGUAAAAUCAUAGACAGAGAGAGAGAGCCAAGGAAGGUAACUUUAUGCUAUCCCCUCAGGUUGCAUAUGUAGACAACAAAGACCAGUCAAUUAGUUUUCCAAUAUUGUUGUGACCACAUU